GAUGAACGCUGGCGGCGUGCCUACUACAUGCAAUUCGAGCGAACAGACGAGGAGCUUGCUACUCUGAUGUUAGCGGCGGACGGGUGAGUAACACGUUGAUAACCUACCUAUAAGACUGGGAUAACUUCGGGAAACCGGAGCUAAUACCGGAUAAUCUAUUGAACCACAUGGUUCAAUAGUGAAAGACGGUUUUGCUGUCACUUAUAGAUGGAUCCGCGCCGCAUUAGCUAGUUGGUAAGGUAACGGCUUACCAAGGCAACGAUGCGUAGCCGACCUGAGAGGGUGAUCGGCCACACUGGAACUGAGACACGGUCCAGACGCCUACGGGAGGCAGCAGUAGGGAAUCUUCCGCAAUGGGCGAAAUCCUGACGGAGCAACGCCGCGUGAGGGAUGAAGGUCUUCGGAUCGUAAAGCUCUGUUAUUAGGGAAGAACAAAUGUGUAAGUAACGAUGCACGUCGUGACGGUACCUAAUCAGAAAGCCACGGCUAACUACGUG
rnacentral:rRNA from 1 species